AUUAAUAUAAUUUUAAUAAAUAAUGGAUCACGAAGGAGGUUGAGCUAAAUAAUAUUUAUUAUUAGAUUAACACUAUAUAUGUUGCAUUAUAUAUACAUAAUUAUUAUUUAGGGGUGAUAGGCCUUUCAAAAUAUCCGAUAUCUUGAUGUUUAGGAAAUAUAUUUAGUAUAUAAUACAUUUUUAGAAUGUUAAGGUUCUAGAAGUAUACUAAUUAUUAUAAUUGUUUUGCAGAUUAUUUAACAAUACCUGCUUUGUAAUGUUAAUACUUAAUUAAAUGCUUUGUAUAAUUUACUAAAACGUAUGAAAAAAUAAUUAACAUAAUGUUACUGUUAAUAUUAGUAUUUAAUUAAAAGUAUUACAGGAACUCGGCAAAUCUGUUCUUCAACUGUUUAUCAAAAACAUAGCUAGAUGAUGUUAAUAUUUAGUGCUUUCUGCUCAAUGGGGAUAACUAAAUAGCCGCAGUACCCUGACUGUGCAAAGGUAGCAUAAUCAUUUGGCUUAUAAUUGAAGUCUGGCAUGAAUGAAUUAAUGGGGAACAUCUGUCUAUAAUAUUCUACUAGAAUUUAAUUAAUAAGUGAAAAUUCUUAUAAAUAAAUAAAAGACGAGAAGACCCUAGAAAUUUUAUUUAUUCUAGUAUAAUACUAUAUCAUUUUGUUGGGGCGACAGAAUAACAGAUAACUUAUUUUAUUUAAUUAGCAUUAUAUAUUAUGUAAAAUUAAAUUACUCUAGGGAUAACAGCAUAAUUUAUAAAAGUUUGUGACCUCGAUGUUGGACUAGGAAAUUUAAUAUUCAAAAGGUAUUAAAAUUUGCUCUGUUCGAGCAUUAACUCCUACAUGAUCUGAGUUCAGACCGG
rnacentral:rRNA from 1 species